rnacentral:rRNA from 1 species
GAGUGGCGAACGGGUGAGUAACGCGUGGAUAAUCUGCCCUUAAGUUGGGGAUAACUCAUCGAAAGGUGGGCUACUACCGAAUGAUGUUGCAUGAUUGCGGUUGUGCAACCAAAGAAGGCCUCUGUUUACAAGCUUUCGCUGAAGGAUGAGUCCGCGUACCAUUAGCUAGUUGGUAGGGUAAUGGCCUACCAAGGCGACGAUGGUUAGCUGGUCUGAGAGGAUGAUCAGCCACACUGGAACUGAGAUACGGUCCAGACUCCUACGGGAGGCAGCAGUGAGGAAUCUUGCGCAAUGGGGGAAACCCUGACGCAGCAACGCCGCGUGAGUGAGGAAGGCCUUCGGGUCGUAAAGCUCUGUCAGAUGGAAAGAAAUGUAUGAGGGCUAAUAUCCUUCAUAUUUGACGGUACCAUCAGAGGAAGCACCGGCUAACUCCGUGCCAGCAGCCGCGGUAAUACGGGGGGUGCGAGCGUUGUUCGGAAUUAUUGGGCGUAAAGAGCGUGUAGGCGGCUUGGUAAGUCAGAUGUGAAAGCCCGGGCUUAACCCGGGAAGUGCAUUUGAAACUGUCGAGCUUGAGUAGGGGAGAGGGAAGCGGAAUUCCUGGUGUAGAGGUGAAAUUCGUAGAUAUCAGGAGGAACACCGGUGGCGAAGGCGGCUUCCUGGCCCUAUACUGACGCUGAGACGCGAGAGCGUGGGUAGCAAACAGGAUUAGAUACCCUGGUAGUCCACGCCGUAAACGAUGUUCACUAGGUGUUGGGGGUAUUGACCCCCUCAGUGCCGCAGCUAACGCAUUAAGUGAACCGCCUGGGGAGUACGGUCGCAAGACUAAAACUCAAAGGAAUUGACGGGGGCCCGCACAAGCGGUGGAGCAUGUGGUUUAAUUCGAUGCAACGCGAAGAACCUUACCUGGGCUUGACAUCCCUGGAAUCCUCUGGAAACAGGGGAGUGCCCUUCGGGGAGCCAGGAGACAGGUGCUGCAUGGCUGUCGUCAGCUCGUGUCGUGAGAUGUUGGGUUAAUCCCGCAACGAGCGCAACCCUUGUCUUUAAUUGCCAUCAUUAAGUUGGGCACUUUAAAGAGACUGCCGGUGUUAAGCCGGAGGAAGGUGGGGAUGACGUCAAGUCCUCAUGGCCUUUAUGCCCAGGGCUACACACGUGCUACAAUGGAUGGUACAAAGAGCAGCAACCUCGCGAGGGGACGCAAAUCUCAAAAAGCCAUCCUCAGUUCGGAUUGAAGUCUGCAACUCGACUUCAUGAAGUUGGAAUCGCUAGUAAUCGCGGAUCAGAAUGCCGCGGUGAAUACGUUCCCGGGCCUUGUACACACCGCCCGUCACACCCUGAAAGUUGAUUGCACCAGAAGUCGUUGGGCUAACCUUUUAACCGAGGAGGCAGACGCCUACGGUGUGGUUGGUGAUUGGGGUGAAGUCGGAACAAGGUA